UCUCAAGCAUAAUAAGGGCAUUUGGUGGAUGCCUUGGCGUUAAGAGGCGAUGAAAGACGUGGCACUCUGCGAUAAGCUACGGUGAGCCGAGAGCAGGCUUUGACCCGUAGAUUUCUGAAUGGGGAAACCCCAUCCAAUAGGAUGAUCAUAACGUGAAUACAUAGCGUUAUGAGGCGAACCCGGGGAACUGAAACAUCUCAGUACCCGGAGGAAAGGACAUCAACCGAGACUCCGCAAGUAGUGGCGAGCGAACGCGGACCAGGCCAGUGGCCUAUGAUCAAGAACCGGAACGAUCUGGAAAGGUCGGCCAUAGUGGGUGAUAGCCCCGUACGGGUAGAAAAUGCAUAAGUCCUCGAGUAGGACGGGACACGUAGAUCAUAGGUCCUCGAGUAGGGCGGGACACGUGAAAUCCUGUCUGAACAUGGGGGGACCACCCUCCAAGCCUAAGUACUCCUUGACGACCGAUAGUGUACCAGUACCGUGAGGGAAAGGUGAAAAGCACCCCGAUAAGGGGAGUGAAAUAGUUCCUGAAACCGGAUGCCUACAAGCAGUUGGAGCCUCUUUAUGGGGUGACAGCGUACCUCUUGCAUAAUGGGUCAGCGAGUUAGUCUUACAAGCGAGCUUAAGCCGUUAGGUGUAGGCGCAGCGAAAGCGAGUCUUAAUAGGGCGAUUGAGUUUGUGGGAUUAGACCCGAAACCAGGUGAUCUAGCCAUGAGCAGGUUGAAGGUGAUGUAACAGUCACUGGAGGACCGAACCCACGUCUGUUGAAAAAGACGGGGAUGACUUGUGGUUAGGGGUGAAAGGCCAAUCAAACCUGGAGAUAGCUGGUUCUCCGCGAAAUCUAUUUAGGUAGAGCGUCAGACGAAUACCAUCGGGGGUAGAGCACUGAAUGGGCUAGGGGGCCUUACCGGCUUACCAAACCUAAUCAAACUCCGAAUACCGAAGAGUACUAUCUGGCAGACAGACUACGGGUGCUAAGGUCCGUGGUCGAGAGGGAAACAGCCCAGACCGCCAGUUAAGGUCCCAAAGUUGUGGCUAAGUGGGAAAGGAUGUAGGACGGCCAAGACAACCAGGACGUUGGCUUAGAAGCAGCCAUCGUUUAAAGAAAGCGUAACAGCUCACUGGUCUAAAUAAGCUGUCCCGCGCCGAAGAUGUACCGGGGCUCAAGCCACACACCGAAACUGCGGAUUUGUUCUUUUAGAACAAGUGGUAGCGGAGCGUUCCGUAAGCCUGUGAAGGUGUACCGUAAGGUAUGCUGGAGGUAUCGGAAGCGAGAAUGCUGACAUGAGUAGCGAUAAAGGGAGUGAGAACCUCCCUCGCCGAAAGCCCAAGGGUUCCUGCGCAAGGCCAAUCCGCGCAGGGUGAGUCGGCCCCUAAGACGAGGCGGAAACGCGUAGUCGAUGGGAAACAGGUUAAUAUUCCUGUACCCGUGAGAAGUGACGGCCUCUGGAAGUAGUUUUUCCUUAUUGGAUUGGAGAAGCUGCCAAGGAGGUCCAGGAAAUAACUCUCACAUAUGGACCGUACCCCAAACCGACACAGGUGGGCAGGUUGAAUAUACCAAGGCGCUUGAGAGAACGAUGUUGAAGGAACUCGGCAAAUUGCCCCCG
rnacentral:ncRNA from 1 species